GGAUGAAGAACGCAGCGAAAUGCGAUAAGUAAUGUGAAUUGCAGAAUUCAGUGAAUCAUCGAAUCUUUGAACGCAUCUUGCGCUCCUUGGUAUUCUGAGGAGCAUGCCUGUUUGAGUGUCAUUAAAUUCUCAACCGCACUGACUUUGAAUUGGUGUGGCUUGGAUUUGGGGGGAAAAUUGUUGUGGGCUUUUUUGUAUAGUCUGCUCCCCUGAAAUUGAUUAGCGGUACCUUUGUGGAACUGUCUACAGGUGUGAUAAUUAUCUACAUCCUAGACAUCUGCUGGAAUGCUGCUUUCUAAACCUUACUUGUAUUGACAAUCUUGACCUCAAAUCAGGUAGGACUACCCGCUGAACUUAAGCAUAUCAAUAAGCGAGGA
rnacentral:misc_RNA from 1 species